CGACUUCUCUCGCUCCGCUUCAGACGUCAACUCCCGGUUCUUCUUGGACAACUCCACGAUCUUGACGGCGGCCGCGUCGCCCGCUAUGCCCGAUGCGCCUGAAACCGACCACUUGGUACAAGUUCUGGAUGAGCAUCUUCUGCGCGGAAAGCUCGCUGCUCAGCGACGGUCCCGAGCUCGGCUGGCUCGGCGCAUUCCGCUUGCCGACGUUUCGGCCCUGGCUUUUAGGAGGAACGCCCGAAUAUUCUUCUUCGUCCACGGUCAACACGCUUGAUGGAGGUGGCCUCAGCUGCUGCUCCAGUGGUCAGCUCUCGGUUCUUUUUGGACAACUCCACGAUCUUGACGGCGGCAGCAUCGCCCGACAUGCCGGACGCGCCUAAAGAGCCACAAAGUGUCCCAAUGCUUAUCGUCAUCGACGUUUUGAUGCUGAAUAGUAGAAGAUGCACCGAUGCAUAUAUUGGACGUCUGUACUCGGACUCGAAAAAAUGCUCCGAUACUCCGACUCCGAUACCACUUUACCAGCCUGACAUACAGAAUACAGUACCUUCACGCCAAGUGGAGGAGGAGCCAUGUCUGCCGUAUGGAACUAAUUUAAGUUUAAAGAGGCGACCGUUGACAUCCGUCAGCUCUCUCAGCUGGUCCAGCAAACGCUGACGCUCGUCUCGUUCCACUCUGCAGGCAUUGAUUGACAAAAGGUCAACGGGGGGGGCUAUAGGUAGCGACUGA